rnacentral:rRNA from 1 species
GCGGCUUCGGUCGUUAGUAGAGCGGCGGACGGGUGAGGAACACGUGGGUAACCUACCCUCGGGUGGGGAAUAACCCAGGGAAACCUGGGCUAAUUCCGCAUAACAUCCUUAGCUCACAAGAGUUUUGGAUCAAAGCUGGGGACCCUUCGGGGCCUGGCGCCAGAGGAGGGGCCCGCGGCCGAUUAGCUUGUUGGUGAGGUAACGGCUCACCAAGGCUCCGAUCGGUAGCCGGCCUAAGAGGGCGGACGGCCACACUGGGACUGAGACACGGCCCAGACUCCUACGGGAGGCAGCAGUGGGGAAUUUUUGUCAAUGGGGGAAACCCUGAACAAGCAACGCCGCGUGGAGGACGAAGACCUUCGGGUCGUAAACUCCUGUCGGAGGGGACGAAAGCGGCAACGGUUAAUACCCGUAGUCGUUGACGGUACCCUUAGAGGAAGCCCCGGCUAACUCCGUGCCAGCAGCCGCGGUAAUACGGGGGGGGCAAGCGUUGUUCGGAAUUACUGGGCGUAAAGGGCGUGUAGGCGGCCCUGCAAGUCUUUCGUGAAAUCCCACAGCUCAACUGUGGAACUGCGAGGGAAACUGCA